rnacentral:rRNA from 1 species
GGGGGGGCAAGCGUUGUUCGGAAUUACUGGGCGUAAAGGGCGCGCAGGCGGCCUGGCAAGUCCUACGUGAAAUCCCACAGCUUAACUGUGGAACUGCGUGGGAUACUGCCAGGCUUGAGUCCGGGAGAGGAGAGUGGAAUUCCCAGUGUAGCGGUGAAAUGCGUAGAUAUUGGGAGGAACACCGGUGGCGAAGGCGGCUCUCUGGACCGGUACUGACGCUGAGGCGCGAAAGCUAGGGGAGCAAACGGGGAUUAGAUACCCCGGUAGUCCUAGCUGUAAACUUUGAGCACUUGGUGUGGCGGGUAUCGACCCCGUGCCGUGCCCGAAGCUAACGCAUUAAGUGCUCCGCCUGGGGAGUACGGUCGCAAGGCUG